rnacentral:tRNA from 1 species
GGAUUAUUAGCUCAGUUGGUCAGAGCAGUCGGCUCAUAACCGAUCGGUCCGGGGUUCAAGUCCCUGAUAAUCCA